UACGGAGGGUGCGAGCGUUGUCCGGAAUCAUUGGGCGUAAAGCGCACGUAGGCGGCCUGUUAAGUCGGGUGUGAAAGCCCUGGGCUCAACCCAGGAAGUGCACUCGAAACUGGCAGGCUUGAGUAUGGAAGAGGGUCGCGGAAUUCCCGGUGUAGAGGUGAAAUUCGUAGAUAUCGGGAGGAACACCAGUGGCGAAGGCGGCGACCUGGGCCAAUAUUGACGCUGAGGUGCGAAAGCGUGGGGAGCAAACAGG
rnacentral:rRNA from 1 species